rnacentral:tRNA from 1 species
GCCGGGAUAGCUCAACGGUAGAGCAAUCGCUUCGUAAGCGAUAGGUUGUGGGUUCGAAUCCCAUUCCCGGCU